rnacentral:rRNA from 1 species
AGAGUUUGGAUCCUGGCUCAGAACGAACGCUGGCGGCAUGCCUAACACAUGCAAGUCGAACGAGAUCCUUCGGGAUCUAGUGGCGCACGGGUGCGUAACGCGUGGGAAUCUGCCCUUGGGUCCGGAAUAACAGUGAGAAAUUACUGCUAAUACCGGAUGAUGACUUCGGUCCAAAGAUUUAUCGCCCAGGGAUGAGCCCGCGUAAGAUUAGCUAGUUGGUGGGGUAAAGGCCUACCAAGGCGACGAUCUUUAGCUGGUCUGAGAGGAUGAUCAGCCACACUGGGACUGAGACACGGCCCAGACUCCUACGGGAGGCAGCAGUGGGGAAUAUUGGACAAUGGGCGAAAGCCUGAUCCAGCAAUGCCGCGUGAGUGAUGAAGGCCUUAGGGUUGUAAAGCUCUUUUACCCGGGAAGAUAAUGACUGUACCGGGAGAAUAAGCCCCGGCUAACUCCGUGCCAGCAGCCGCGGUAAUACGGAGGGGGCUAGCGUUGUUCGGAAUUACUGGGCGUAAAGCGUACGUAGGCGGUUAUUCAAGUCAGAGGUGAAAGCCUGGAGCUCAACUCCAGAACUGCCUUUGAAACUAGAUAGCUAGAAUCGCGGAGAGGUGAGU